rnacentral:rRNA from 1 species
AACGAACGCUGGCGGCAGGCCUAACACAUGCAAGUCGAACGAACCCUUCGGGGUUAGUGGCGGUCGGGUGAGUAACACGUGGGAACGUGCCUUUAGGUUCGGAAUAACUCAGGGAAACUUGUGCUAAUACCGAAUGUGCCCUUCGGGGGAAAGAUUUAUCGCCUUUAGAGCGGCCCGCGUCUGAUUAGCUAGUUGGUGAGGUAAUGGCUCACCAAGGCUACGAUCAGUAGCUGGUCUGAGAGGAUGACCAGCCACAUUGGGACUGAGACACGGCCCAAACUCCUACGGGAGGCAGCAGUGGGGAAUCUUGCGCAAUGGGCGAAAGCCUGACGCAGCCAUGCCGCGUGGAUGAUGAAGGUCUUAGGAUUGUAAAAUCCUUUCACCGGUGAAGAUAAUGACUGUAGCCGGAGAAGAAGCCCCGGCUAACUUCGUGCCAGCCGCCGCGGUAAAAC